UUUGCUUCUCAUUUUUGCAGGUUGAAAUUUUCACACUGCCCUGCGUUGGGAACUCAUGGUCUCCAUCCUUGCUUGCGUGCCAUGCUGUUUCUCUUCUGAGAUGUCUGCUUUCCAUCCCUGCCUGGAAGCCAGCCCAUUAUGAACUGAAACCUCUAGAAACUCCUUCCACUGUGCUCUGUUUGCCAGACACCAUGAAGUGAGCAGCUUUGAUCUGCCACACCCUUCCUGACUGCAAACCAGCUGUCCAUUGACUGAAUCCUCUGAAACCGUGAGCCAAAAUAACUUUUC